rnacentral:rRNA from 1 species
GAGUAAGUUACUAAGGGCACACGGUGAAUGCCCAGGCUCUCAGAGGCGAAGAAGGACGUAAUAGACUGCGAUAAGCUGUGAGUAGGUGUCUAUAACCGCUCAGUCACAGAUUUCCGAAUGGGGCAACCUAUCCUUUUUAAAGGAUGAUAUAAUC